CCUGAGUUUUUCCUGACCUACCUAGGAGGAACUAAAUGAAAGAGAGGAGGUGACCCAGACAGAAAACCGUAUUCACCAUGGGGCCUGGUCUGCAGCUCAUCAGCACAUCGACAGCAGCUCAGCAGAAGAGGUCACAGUAUUAAGCCAGAGGCAGGUUCUGCAAAAAAAAAAAAAAAAAAAAACACGUCAGCAACCCCAAUCAGAAACAACUUUCAGGACC